rnacentral:rRNA from 1 species
GACGAACGCUGGCGGCGUGCUUAACACAUGCAAGUCGAACGGAAAGGCCCUGCUUGCAGGGUACUCGAGUGGCGAACGGGUGAGUAACACGUGGGUGAUCUGCCCUGCACUUCGGGAUAAGCCUGGGAAACUGGGUCUAAUACCGGAUAGGAGCCAUUUUUAUUGUGAUGGUUGGAAAGUUUUUUCGUUGUAGGAUGGGCUCUCGGCCUAUCAGCUUGUUGGUGGGGUAAUGGCCUACCAAGGCGGCGACGGGUAGCCGGCCUGGGAGGGUGGACGGCCACAUUGGGACUGAGUUACGGCCCAGAAUCCUACGGGAGGAAGCAGUGGGGAAUAUUGCACGAUGGGCGCAAGCCUGAUGCAGCGACGCCGCGUGGGGGAUGACGGCAUUCAGGUUGUAAACUCCUUUCGCUAGGGACGAAGCUUUUUGUGACGGUACCUAGAUAAGAAGCACCGGCUAACUACGUG